GCAUGAGUUUGGAUGUAUGGCAGGCUCUUCCCCUGAGCCUCUCACAGUGCCCCAAGUCGGAGCAAACUGCCCUUGAGCUCUUGCCCAGUCUGCCUGUGGGCUGCUGGUAUGGAAGCAGUUGCACAGUA
rfam:Tupaia chinensis contig58789, whole genome shotgun sequence.